rnacentral:piRNA from 1 species
UCAGCAGAGCCUACAGGACACAUGUCAUG